rnacentral:sRNA from 2 species
AUUCUGCCCAAGCGGGGAAGGAUGAGAAGCUUCGACCAAGGUUCGACUUGAGCGCCAGCGAGAGAGCGUUGCCGCAGGCAACGAC